GGGCAUGGCUUAGCUUGGUCUUCCUCAGAGUCUCACAUGGGGCAAUCAAGACAAAGUCCAUGGACAUGGUCACACCUGAUGCUCACCUGGGACAGGAUCUACUUCCAAGCUCAUAUGAUUGUAGAAGCAAGUCACAAAUCCUGCCCACACUCAAGGAGAGAGAAUUACAUAAGGUCAUGAACACCCAGAAGCAAGGAUCAUGGGGGUCACCUUAGAAUCUUCCCCGACAAGAAGCAGCAUAAAAUCAAAUUUACCCAGAAUGUUUCCUGCAGGAAAAGAAACUGAGAUUCAGAUCAUAUGAUCAGUACCACCAAGCUCAUGGACUUACCAUGAACCAGCUGGAUGAUUCUUUCAAUGUCGAACUGAUCAGAACAUGGUCACAUCUAGAGAUGGAGCCUUCAGAAUCCCAUAGGAGUUCUCUGCCAUUCUUCUUCGGAUCUCUAUUUUUAGCCCGGUAAAAUUCUGCACAAUGAUUAAAAAAAAUAAUUAUUUCAAAUAA